rnacentral:rRNA from 1 species
AUUGAACGCUGGCGGCAGGCCUAACACAUGCAAGUCGAACGAGUGGCGGACGGGUGAGUAAUGUCUGGGAAACUGCCUGAUGGAGGGGGAUAACUACUGGAAACGGUAGCUAAUACCGCAUACCAUCGGAUGUGCCCAGAUGGGAUUAGCUAGUCGGUGGGGUAAAGGCUCACCUAGGCGACGAUCCCUAGCUGGUCUGAGAGGAUGACCAGCCACACUGGAACUGAGACACGGUCCAGACUCCUACGGGAGGCAGCAGUGGGGAAUAUUGGACAAUGGGCGCAAGUCUGAUGCAGCCAUGCCGCGUGUAUGAAGAAGGCCUUCGGGUUGUAAAGUACUUUCGGCGGGGAGGCGGUAUCCGAAGAAGAAGCACCGGCUAACUCCGUGCCAGCAGCCGCGGUAAUUC